GAUGAAGAACGCAGCGAAAUGCGAUAAGUAAUGUGAAUUGCAGAAUUCAGUGAAUCAUCGAAUCUUUGAACGCACAUUGCGCCCGCCAGUAUUCUGGCGGGCAUGCCUGUCUGAGCGUCAUUUCAACCCUCAUGCCCCUAGGGCGUGGUGUUGGGGAUCGGCCAAAGCCCGCGAGGGACGGCCGGCCCCUAAAUCUAGUGGCGGACCCGUCGUGGCCUCCUCUGCGAAGUAGUGAUAUUCCGCAUCGGAGAGCGACGAGCCCCUGCCGUUAAACCCCCAACUUUCCAAGGUUGACCUCAGAUCAGGUAGGAAUACCCGCUGAACUUAAGCAUAUCAAUAAGCGGGGGA
rnacentral:misc_RNA from 1 species